AUGGAGUAUCGUGAUGGUAUGGAGUAUUGUGAUGGUAUGGAGUAGUGUGAUGGUAUGGAGUAUCGUGAUGGUAUGGAGUAUUGUGAUGGUAUGGAGUAUUGUGAUGGUAUAGAGUAGUGUGAUGGUAUGGAGUAUUGUGAUGGUAUAGAGUAUGGAUGAUGGUAUAGAGUAGUUGUGAUGGUAUAGAGUAUGGAUGAUGGUAUAGAGUAUGGAUGAUGGUAUAGAGCAGUGUGAUGGUAUAGAGUAUGGAUGAUGGUAUAGAGUAUGGAUGAUGGUAUAGAGUAUGGGUGAUGGUAUAGAGUAGUGCGAUGGUAUGGAGUAUGGAUGAUGGUAUAGAGUAGUGUGAUGGUAUAGAGCAUUGUGAUGGUAUAGAGUAGUGUGAUUGUAUGGAGUAUGGAUGAUGGUAUAGAGUAUUGUGAUGGUAUGGAGUAUGGAUGAUGGUAUAGAGUAUGGAUGAUGGUAUAGAGUAGUUGUGAUGGUAUGGAGUAUGGAUGAUGGUAUAGAGUAGUGUGAUGGUAUGGAGUAUGGAUGAUGGUAUAGAGUAGUGUGAUGGUAUGGAGUAUUUGUGAUGGUAUAGAGUAGUGUGAUGGUAUGGAGUAUGGAUGAUGGUAUAGAGUAGUGUGAUGGUAUAGAGUAGUGUGAUGGUAUAGAGUAGUGUGAUGGUAUGGAGUAGUGUGAUGGUAUGGAGUA
ensembl:lncRNA